ensembl:rRNA 5S_rRNA 5S ribosomal RNA
GUCUGGAGCCCUUUGACCCUGGCUUGAUCUUGGAAGCUAAGCAGGGUAGGGACUGGCUAGAACUUGCAUGGGAGACUGCCUGGGAAAACCGGGUGCUCAAAAAA